rnacentral:rRNA from 1 species
UAGUUGACCUGCCCUUUGGUGGGGAAUAACUCCUCGAAAGAGGAGCUAAUACCGCAUAAGCUCUACGGUGUGGGCCGGAGAGGAAACUUUGUUCGCAAGAGCAGAGGCAAAAGGAGGGGACUGCGGCGGAUUAGCUAGAUGGUGGGGUAAAAGCCUACCAUGGCGACGAUCCGUAGCUGGUCUGAGAGGACGACCAGCCACACUGGGACUGAGACACGGCCCAG